UAUGAAAAUUCUUUUCUAUCAAUCACAUUGCUAUGGCCACAAACUUUUGGACUUAGCCUUUCAAAUCUCAUAGGAUUAUUUUUCUCUAUCAAGGUUGAGUCCAGUUGUGACUUCUAUGAAAAUUCUUUUCUAUCAAUCACAUUGCUAUGGCCAUAAACUUUUGGACUUAGCCUUUCAAAUCUCAUAGGAUUACUUUUCUCUAUCAAGGUCGAUAGUUUUUUUCUUGAUGUGUACCCCACUCCUACAGUGGACCAACUAUCAUCAACAUCAACUACAAGAGCUCAUUGAGCCCCAUGU
rnacentral:lncRNA from 1 species